UCAGGACGAACGCUGGCGGCGUGCCUAAUACAUGCAAGUCGAACGGUCUUUCUAUGGAAGCUUGCUUCCACUGAGAAGAUAGUGGCGAACGGGUGAGUAACAACGUGGGUAACCCUGCCCAUAAGAGGGGGGAUAACAUCCGGAAACGGGUGCUAAUACCGCAUAGUUUCUUGAUCGCAUGAUUGAGAAAGGAAAGACGGCCUUUGUGCUGUCGCUUAUGGAUGGACCCGCGGCGUAUUAGUUAGUUGGUGAGGUAACGGCUCACCAAGACGAUGAUACGUAGCCGACCUGAGAGGGUGAUCGGCCACAUUGGGACUGAGACACGGCCCAAACUCCUACGGGAGGCAGCAGCAGGGAAUCUUCCGCAAUGGACGAAAGUCUGACGGAGCAACGCCGCGUGAGUUGAAGAAGGUUUUCGGAUCGUAAAACUCUGUUGUCAGAGAAGAACAAGUUGGAGAGUAACUGCUCCAGCCUUGACGGUAUCUGACCAGAAAGCCACGGCUAACUACGUGCCAGCCGCCGC
rnacentral:rRNA from 1 species